GAUGAACGCUGGCGGCGUGCCUAAUACAUGCAAGUCGAGCGAACGGACGAGAAGCUUGCUUCUCUGAUGUUAGCGGCGGACGGGUGAGUAACACGUGGAUAACCUACCUAUAAGACUGGGAUAACUUCGGGAAACCGGAGCUAAUACCGGAUAAUAUUUUGAACCGCAUGGUUCAAAAGUGAAAGACGGUCUUGCUGUCACUUAUAGAUGGAUCCGCGCUGCAUUAGCUAGUUGGUAAGGUAACGGCUUACCAAGGCAACGAUGCAUAGCCGACCUGAGAGGGUGAUCGGCCACACUGGAACUGAGACACGGUCCAGACUCCUACGGGAGGCAGCAGUAGGGAAUCUUCCGCAAUGGGCGAAAGCCUGACGGAGCAACGCAGCGUGAGUGAUGAAGGUCUUCGGAUCGUAAAACUCUGUUAUUAGGGAAGAACAUAUGUGUAAGUAACUGUGCACAUCUUGACGGUACCGAAUCAGAAGGCCACGGCUAACUACGU
rnacentral:rRNA from 1 species